rnacentral:rRNA from 1 species
UAUGAUGGCCAUGCUGGCUUUUCAAAGUCUGAUCUCGUCAGAUUUCAGAAGCUAAGCAAGGCUGGGCCUGGUUAGUUCUUGAAUGGGAGACCACAGGGAAUAUCAGGCACCACAUUU